UGGAAGUAAAAGUCGUAACAAGGUUUCCGUAGGUGAACCUGCGGAAGGAUCAUUACCGAGUUUUCGAGCUCCGGCUCGACUCUCCCACCCUUUGUGAACGUACCUCUGUUGCUUUGGCGGCUCCGGCCGCCAAAGGACCUUCAAACUCCAGUCAGUAAACGCAGACGUCUGAUAAACAAGUUAAUAAACUAAAACUUUCAACAACGGAUCUCUUGGUUCUGGCAUCGAUGAAGAACGCAGCGAAAUGCGAUAAGUAAUGUGAAUUGCAGAAUUCAGUGAAUCAUCGAAUCUUUGAACGCACAUUGCGCCCCUUGGUAUUCCGGGGGGCAUGCCUGUUCGAGCGUCAUUACAACCCUCAAGCUCUGCUUGGAAUUGGGCACCGUCCUCACUGCGGACGCGCCUCAAAGACCUCGGCGGUGGCUGUUCAGCCCUCAAGCGUAGUAGAAUACACCUCGCUUUGGAGCGGUUGGCGUCGCCCGCCGGACGAACCUUCUGAACUUUUCUCAAGGUUGACCUCGGAUCAGGUAGGGAUACCCGCUGAACUUAAGCAUAUCAAU
rnacentral:rRNA from 1 species